rnacentral:rRNA from 1 species
UACGGAGGGUGCAAGCGUUGUCCGGAAUCACUGGGCGUAAAGGGUGCGUAGGCGGCCCGGUAAGUAGGGGGUGAAAUCCUGCGGCUUAACCGCAGGGCUGCCUUCUAAACUGUCGGGCUCGAGCACGGUAGAGGCAGAUGGAAUUCCCGGUGUAGCGGUGGAAUGCGUAGAGAUCGGGAAGAACAUCAGUGGCGAAGGCGGUCUGCUGGGCCGUUGCUGACGCUGAGGCGCGACAGCGUGGGGAGCAAACAGG